GGAAAACGGAUGAGCAAGGGCUCCUAGGGUUAGGGUUAGGGUUAGAAAGCACAGAGACUAUGUGGUGUAUAUAUAUUCGUUACACAGACGAUCAUUCUGCAAUUAGGUUCUGCGAUUUACUUAUAGGAUUUCUUGUUUGCUGGAGAUGUAUUUGGGUGGAGGUUUACUUAUCUGGGUCGGUUAGGAGAUCGAUCUCCAAAUAGAUACCGUUUCUUUACAGAUUCAUAUUAGAAAACUGAAAGUGCAUCAGAGUACGAAGAAGAUGGAGUUUUAGAAACAAGCAAGCUCCUACCAAGAGUUAAUGCAGUGAAUGCGUGAUAUCAGAUGUGACAGAAAUAAUCAAUCACAACACAAGGGAGAACACUAAUAAUGUAUACACAGCACUCUUAAUGGUUUUUAAGCACAUCUCGUUUCUGAGCUUCAAGCUUGAAUCUGCAGUCUGCGCUUAGGCAAUUGAAAGAGGCAGCGAUACGAAAUGUUAUAGAUAGUUUAUAGUAAAUGAGCAGCAUUGAUAAAUUUAAAACGUAUAAUCACUAUGAAAUUACAGCAGACGGAUUUUUAUUAAAAAAGAAAUAUACUUACAAAUACUCAAAAAAUUUCUUGAUUCUUUAUUAAAAUACUUUUAAGAUACAGAGUAAUGGUGGCCACGAUGCAGAAAUCCCCCAUUCCAACACUAGACAACCUUUUCUCUAACAGCGCAUUUUCAACUAUUUCUCUGAUUAGAUUUAUAAUUGCCUUGAUUUGGUAGUGGACGGUUUAUAUCAUUCUUCCAUUCUCACCUUUCAUUAGGUUUGAUAAAUAUCCAAUUUUUGACCUUUUUUUACAAGCUUCUUGCAGGCUUUUGACGGACUUCUACUUCAACUUCGCUGUAAACUAAUUUUGGGCUUUAUCAUUUAAAGAAAAUUCUUUUAAUGCUCUACUGCUCCUUGUAUCAUAUUAUUCACCUUAAGCUACUUUUUUGGCAAAGGUUUGAAGGCUAAAUAUGGUGGAAAGACGGACAACUGACUGCCAAAGCAUUUGUUACAUUUAUAACUGCUGCUGGAGUGAGUUUAUAUUAUUUGUGCUAGUUUUUGGCAAAGGUUUGAAGGCUAAAUAUGGUGGAAAGGCAGACAACUGACUGCCAAAUCAUUUGUUACAUUUAUAACUGCUAGCUGGAGUGAGUUUAUAUAAUUUAUGUUUUAGCACAAUGAGUGGCAUUGUUCUGUGAUAUAAGAAGAGUUGUACAUCUAUUUCUCUAAAGAGAUUGGGCUGAGCCUCAUGCAGCCAUGAUGGAUAUUGUUGUUAGUGGUGCAACUGUGCCCGCUGGAUUCCCCACCAGAAUCUUCUUCGCUGUUGUUGCAUAACAUUUUUCAACUAUACUGUCUUGCUGUUUUUUCUUCAAAGUUUUCAAAAAACUAGAUUUAAUUUGGAAUGCUUUUUGUAAUUAAUUUUGAUGAAAAAAAAGAUGUUGCGAAGAAAGUUAAAAUAGCAAUUCAAAGAGAUGCAGCUUCAUGAA